UCGAAGGAACAAGUCCCGGAAACAAAGAACGCUAUUUCGAGGUUAGGUUCGUUCACAGCGAGGCUGGCGAAACCUAAUCAUUUUUAGGGGAAACAAUUGCCGAUGGCGAUGGAAUAACGAGCGACGCGUGCCGCGUCACGUGUCCACGAAUGUCCGCUCAAACAUUACGUACGGAGGGGGUGGGGGCGCAAGAAUAAGGCUCGCCUAAUUGCGACGGCCGUUCCAUUAGAGAUUAAACUUCAAACGAGACUCGGUCAAAUUCGUUCGGUUAAUUAACGUGGCUCACCGAACUGUAACUUUCCGGCUCGAGUUUCGUUGGUCGAUAAAAAGAUAUACUUCCACGAUUGAGCCACUUUGAUACUUGCUACAGCGAGAAAUGAUGCGCUUCCUCUGCGAAUUCAUAACGAGGGCGAAAAACGUAACCAACGGAUAUUUCAAGAAGGUUUAAUGUUAUAAAGCGAUGCAUAGAAAUGAAUAUGCGAGUUCGGAACAACGGAGAAGUAGAGAAUCUGUUUGCUCGCUCGACAGGGGUCAGAGGUCACGGUAAUGGGAUCGAAAAUCCGGAUAACUAAUCUCGAUCAGCUCUUUUCACCGUCACGUAUUGCGCAAGUCCCGUUGGGUUGCGUCAAUUUAACGUCAAACUCCUCGCAAAUAUUUGUAAAACCGUAAUCGUGAUCUCCAUCACGCGCCGAAUUGUCUGUGAACGGAAAUGGAUUUGAAACAUUUAUUUGCUGGAUACUCCGAUAUUCUUCGACACCACUUCUUCCUUACAUCUUCCAAACCAGGGAAAUGUUAUCGUGGGCAACGACCGAGCAGAAACCUGUGAAUGUGUCGCAUUUCCAUUGUUGGAUCGAACUCACCUGCAACCGAGCACAUAUUCGCAACGCUACGCGCAAGCGUGAUAUAAGGAAAACAAGGCAGUAAAGGCAGUAAUAGUAGAGAUAACCCCAACAUGCGCAUACAUACUAUUUUUGACGUCAGUAAAUUAGCCAACACAAUAAAGAAUAAUAUAUAGCGAUAUAAAACA